AUCCAGCUGACGAGUUCCAAAAUAGGACGAAACGCGCGUCCUGGAU
rnacentral:hammerhead_ribozyme from 1 species